rnacentral:piRNA from 1 species
UAGAUUAUUUUUCUCCUUUGUGUUCACUCC